UUUAAUUAAAAAAGUUAGAAAAUUAUAUCAAAAAAACUUGUGAAUUGUAAAAAAUAAUAUUAAAAAUGGAUUUAAAGAGGAUGCAAUAUGUUGAAAAGAUAUCAAAACCUGUUUCCGAUUCGAAUAAUCCAAAUCCAAAUCCAAAUCCAAACCCAAAUUUGAAUUCGAAUCUAAAAACUAUUCUAUUUCGAUGUCCAAAUCCGAAUCCGAAUUCAAAUUCAAGUCGGAUAGUAAAAUUCCAACCCAUAUCUAGGUAUGUCAAUAGGCACGAAUAUCUAUAAUUUUAUCCGAACUUAAAUCCAAAUAGAAUAGAUUUAUUCUAUACUAAAAUAUAAUUUCAAAUACGGAUAUAAAAACAAAAACAUUAUUGAUUUGGAUUCGAGAAUAGAUUUUGUCUAUACCCGAUCCAAAUCUGUUUUGAUUUUAUACUAUAUAUAUAUAUAUAUAUAUAUAUAUAGUAUAUAUAUAUAUAUAUAUAUAUAUAUACACUAUGAAGCACGGAUACUUCAAAUUUCAUGCCGUACCCGUAUCGGAUACGUAUCGGAUAUCGAUACGCGCCCGAUACUGGAAUGAAAUAUCCGGCAUUUUUAAAAAAUAAAAAAAUAUCGGAUACGGCUCGGAUACGUGAGGGAUACGGGGGGAUACGGGGGGGACAUGGCCAAGUUCUUUUUUGGUCUAAAAUGAUCGAAACUUAAAUUAUUUUUAAGAGCUCACGUCCAAACCUAUUGGAAAGAAGGAAAAGAGUGAGAAAAACGCCAAUCACUGUUCAAUUUGUCAUUUCAUCUAUCUUUUUGCUCUUGAAUGGUAGAAGGUGCUCCCUCUCGUUCUCUCUUCACACAGUAUUUACUCUUUUUUAUUUAAUUUGUCAACCUAGCAUUAAACAACAAAGGCUAUAGAAAUUUUUUCUUUUUUUUCCUUCUCUAUUAAAUUGUUAGCAUAUUUUUAUAUUACUAUUUUAAUAAUAGAACUAAUAAAGCAGACAUAUAUAUUGAAUGGCUAAUUAUCUAGUUUGUGCGACUGCAUAUCUAUUGUUAUCAUUUGAUCAAGUUGAAUAAUAGUUGAUUUGAUACUUUUUGAAUUAUUAUUUUAUAUAAUCAAUUAUCUUUUUUUAUGAACAUAUGUAAGACAAUUAUACAAGUUAAUGCACAUUAUAAUAUAUUCUUUAAUAUAGUCCAAAUAUCCUGAUUGCUCUCAAUAUAUUAUUACAUAUACUCAACAUAUAUUUAAAUAUAUUUAAAAUAAUAUUUUAUUCAAGUAUAUCCCGCGUAUCGUAUUCUAGAAGUUUUAGGAAUUGCCGUAUUACCAUAUCCGUAUCGUGUCGUAUCCGUAUCCCCGUAUCCGUAUUUGUGCAACAUAGUAUAUAUAUAUGUAUAUAUAUAUAUAUAUAUAUGUAUAUAUAUAUAUAUAUAUAUGUUCGAUGUUAUAUUUAAAUUUGUAUUUUAAAAAUUUAGAUUUAAUAUAAUAUAUUUUGAAAUAGGGUAAAGAUAAAUAAUUAUUUUGGAUUCGGGUUUUCAGGUCCGGAUUCGAGUUUUAGAUUUUUAGCUGGGUUAGGGUUUGCAUAUGUCCGUCGAAUUCGGAUUUCGAUUCGGAUUUGUGUUUGGUAGCCUGGUUCAGGUUUCGGAUUUUUGAAAACUCACUUCGAAUCUGACCCACUGA
rnacentral:lncRNA from 1 species